ensembl:lincRNA
GCCCUUCCAGGCGGGUCCCGGGAGAGGCGGUCAUGGCCGCGCCAGGGGACCGGGGAGCCGGGCGGCUGCGGAGGAGCCGGCUGCAUGGGGUGCUGUGUGUUUUUCAGGGCGCCCUGCGUCCGGCAGAGGAGGCGAGCAUCCCGCUCAGGUGAUGAGGAACCCCUCGCGCACCCAGCGCAGAAGGCUGCUGCCGCCGGACGCCUCCAUUGUUUGACCACAACAAGGGCCGGAUUCUCACCCAGGCCGUACUUGGUGAGAGUCUUCAUGGACCACGGUGCUGCACGAGGUGAUUGUGUUUGCAGAGGUUUUUUUGUCCUUGAAGAGCACUUAGGGCUGGAGAGCAAGACACAUGCUGACGAGCAGAAGCUGACAGGCUUGCUGCCAUGUGGGAAAGUCCUUGGACGAGUUGUCUGCUUGCGGAGAGGUGUCUGCGGCUCAGGGCUUUGCUCAAGAGGCUCCAGAGAAGUGGCCUCUGUCCUGCCAAGUUAUGGAAUGCCACCUUAUUGUGGAAUGGUCCCAUGCAGAACACACACCACCCCACGGAAACACCCACUCCAGGUGGGGGCCAGAAAUCUGUUGUCUUCAGUGACUUCCUAACCCAGGCCAGUGGGUGCAGUUCCAGUUUCCAGCUAGCCAAGUCCAUUUUCACCCCCGAACCUCCUGCUGAGCUUUUCUCCUGCAUGUCACCACCCACAGACUCAAGAUCAAGACCCUAACUUGCCUCUCAGACUCCGGGACGACAGACAGAAGGCGGAAAGUCGUGUCUCCUGAAUUCAGCUUUUCCAUGGGCUUAGAUUCCCAGCGAUCACCUUGGCGGCUUCACCUGGCUUUCCCAGCCUCCUUAUUCUUUUUCAUCUUCAAAGGAUGGUGAAGCUAUUGAGCCCAACCGCUGAGGAUUCAACAAGGGAGAUUGUGAACGCUCCAAGAACAGCAGGUUCCACACUGAAACUCAGUAGCCACUUUGAACCAAACUGUGUGCGUUUUCAGAAGUAUUUCUUCUUGCUGAAGACCCGAGGGACUGGGCUUUUUGAGGGUCAUUUCUCCAGUGGAUUUAGCCUGCCUGGGAAAAGUUUUAGACAAGCAGCAGGGGACAGGGGAAAAUAGAAUCCUGGAAGAUGGCUCCUGUUCUGUGAUUGCAUUUAAAAAAUCUCCAAAUAAAUUCUCCGCUGUGGAAAGGUGGACAUCUGUUCAAUUCUGCACUCAACAAAUAAUAAGAAUUUGGAAGGGGUGGAUUUUGUUAUGGAUUCAGAAUUGAAAUUUCAUGCUUUAAUUAUUUUUAAAAUUUUAAUCUUUUUUUAUUAAAACGUAACUUACACAUAAUAAAAUGUACCGGUUUGAUGUGUACAGUUGAAUGAGUUAUGACAAAUGUAUAUACACCCAGCUAACCACCACCACAAUCAAGAUUCCAAAUAUCGCAAUCUCCCCAAUCAGUAGGUAUUAUUUCCAGCCAGCUCCCCACCCAUCCCCAGCCUUGACAGCCACUGCUUUGCUUGCUUUUUUUUUUUUUUUUCCCGAGACAGAGUCUUGCUCUGUCUUGCUCAGGCUGGAGUGCAGUGGUGUGAUCUUGGCCCACUGUAGCCUCUGCCUCCUGGGUUCAAGCAAUUCUCCUGUCUCAGCCUCCCCAGUAGCUGGGACUACAGGUGUCUGCCACCAUACCUGGCUAAUUUUGUAUUUUUAGUAGAUAUGGGGUUUCACUCUGUUGGCCAGGCUGGGUCUUGAACUCCUGACCUCCAGGUCGAUCACCGCCUUGGCCNNNNNNNNNNNNNNNNNNNNCCCGCCUUGGCCUCCCAAAGUGCUGAGAUUACAGGUGUGAGCCACCGCACCCCUCCUACUGCUUUGCUUUCUAUCUGUGCAUUAGAUUUUUCUGUCUAGAGCUUCAUAGAAAUCAUACAUGUGUAAAACAUGCACUCUUUUUUCUUUUUUUUUUGAGACAGGGUCUUGCUCUGUUGCCCAGGCUGGAGUGCAGUGGCAUGAUCAUGGCUCACUGCAGCCUUGAUCUUCUGGGAGUUGACCUCCCACCUCAGCCUCCCAAGUAGCUGGGACCAUGGGUGUGUGCCACCAUACCUGGCUAAUUUUUUUUUUUUGAAGAGAUGGGGUCUCACUGUGUUACUUAGACUGUCUCGAACUCCUGGGCUCAAGUAAUCCUCCCGCCUCUGCCUCCCAAAGUGCUGGGAUUAUAGGUGUGAGCCACCGUGCUGGGCUCAUGCACUCUUUUUUCGUCUGGCUCCUUUCACUCAGCAUAAUUAUUCUGAGAUUUAACUACAUGAUUGUGUGUGUCAAUAGUUUGUUUUUUGGGGUUGCUGAGUACUAUUCCAUUGUAUGGACAUGCCGUAAUUAGUUUGUUUAUCCAUCCACCUGUUGAUGAACAUUUGGGUUGUCUCCAGUUUUAGGCAAUUACGAAUAAAAUUGCUGUCAACAUUUGUGUACAGGUCUUUGUGUGGAUUUGUAAGUCUUCACGUCUCUACGUAAAUACCCAGACCUGGAAUUGCUGGGUUGUAUGGUAGGUAUACACUCAACUUCACAAGAAACUGUUCAACCAUUGUCCAAGGUAGCUGUCUGAGCAUGUAUGAUAAUUCACAAAGUUUUUUGUUUUGCUUUGUAAAAAUUUUAAAUAGCUCUAUUGAGGAGUAGUUGACAAACCACAGAAUUCAUCCAUUUUAAGUGUAGUUUUAGAAAAUGUGUAGUUUUACAAAGUGAAUUUUAGAAAAUUUAUACAACUGUGCAACCAUCACCGCAAUCCAGUUUUCAAAAUUUUUAUUACCCCACAAAAUUCCUUCGUGAUUUUGCAGUCAAUCCCCACUUCCUGCCCCAGGCAAAAAAGAGCCAUUGAAUGGCCAGCUUUCUCUAUCUAUAGUUUUGCCUUUUCCAGAAGUUCCAUAUAAGUAGAGCCAUAUAAUAUGUAGUCUUAGAUGUCUGAUUUCUUCCCCUUAGCAUGUUUUUGAGGCUUGCCUAUGUUAUUGUUGUGUGUAUCAAUAGUUUGUUCCUUUUCACUGCUGCGUAGUAUUCCAUUGUACGAAAAGAUCACAUGAUAUGGUUUGGGUCUAUCUCCCUGCCCAAAUCUCAUAUCAAAUUGUAAUUUCCAGUAUGAGAGGUGGGGCCUGGUGGGAAGUCAUUGGAUCAUGGGGGCAGAUUUCCCCUUUGGUGCUGUUUUUAUGAUAGUGAGUUACUGCAAGAUCUGGUUGUUUAAAAGUGUGUAGCACCCAGCCCCGCUCUUCUUCCUGCUGCUCCAGCCAUUUAGGUGCCUGCUUCCCCCUCACCUUCCUCUAUGAUUGUAAGUUUCCUGAGGCUCCCCCAGCCAAGCUUCCUGUUCAGUCUGCAGAACUGUGAGCCAAUGAAAUCCCUUUUCUUUACAAAUUACCCAGUCUCAGGUAUUUCUUUAUAGAAGUGCGAGAAUGGACUAACACAUUAUAUUUUGUUUAUCUGGUCACCAGUUGAUGGACAUUUGGUUUAUUUCCAGCACAAGGCUAUUGGCUCAACUACCAGUAAUGACCCAAAGAAAUUAAUGUAUUACUCAGGCUGGGCGCAGUGGUUCACACCUGUAAUCUCAGCACUCUGGGAGGCUGAGGAGGGCAACUCACUUGAGACCAGGAGUUCGAGACUAGCCUGGCCAACAUGGUGAAACUCGAGCGGAGGCUGCUGUAGUCUCGAGUUUGAUGAAGUUUGUAUGUUUGAUAAAGUUUUGUUUCUAUGAAUGUGCCAAAAAGGAAAACAACUUAAAAUGUACAGCAGUAGGUGAUGGGUUAGGUAAGUGAUAACACGUAUCUUCCUAAGGGACUGAUACCAUCUGCUCUUUAAAGAUUAUGGUGAAAAACAAUAAUUAUAAGGGAAAAUAUACCCAAUACUGUCAGAAAGGUUCAAUAUUACGUGCGAGUUGUCUAUCAAAAAGAAUCUGUGUUCAUAUAAACUAUUAUAAAAGUACUUCCAUCUUAAUGAAUAAUUUCAAAAUAAAUACCAAAGAAUCACCUUCCAACAUCUGAUAAUGAAUUAUCUAAUAAUGAAUAAACAAAGACAGACAAUUCUACUGGCACACUGAGGCAUAAAGGCAUUGUUUCUUUUCUUUUCUUUUUGACAUGGAGUUUUGCUCUGUCACCCAGGCUGGAGUGCAGUGGUGUGAUCUCAGCUCACUGCAACCUCUGCCUCCCAGGUUCAAGCAAUUCUCCUGCCUCAGCCUCCCAAGUAGCUGGGAUUACAGGCGCCUGUCACCAUGCCCGGCUAAUUUUUGUAUUUUUAGUAGAUACAGGGUUUCACCAUGCUGGCCAGGCUGGUCUCAAACUCCUGACCUCAUGAUCUGCCCGCCUUGGCCUCCCAAAGUGCUGGGAUUACAGGCGUGAGCCACUGCGCCUGGCAAAGACAUUGUUUCUUAAAGACGAGUUAAAAAUGAUAUUUGAAAAUAAAAAUAAGAUUUGUUUUUACUGAGAAGAAAAAUCUUUACUCACUCCAUUCAUUACAUGCUACAAUAAAGAAGAAAGAAAUCUUUGGAAAUAAAAUCUCUUCUAAGAUCUACCUCUCAUUAAAAGAUUGUAAAUUUUUUAAAAACUGGAGUGGCGCACAUCAACAUUUUAACCAUGAAGGUCUCCGAAACAUAAUUCUGCGUUAACAUUUUCUUCUUUGUCCCCUUCUGUAUUUUUUCAAUGUAUUAUUUCCAUGUACACUUUUAUAAUCAGAGAAAAACCAAUAGCGAUUUUUUCCCAUUUUUAAAAGAGUGAAA